GAUGAACGCUGGCGGCGUGCCUAAUACAUGCAAGUCGAGCGAACAGAUGAGGCUCUUGCUCCUCUGACGUUAGCGGCGGACGUGUGAGUAACACGUGUAUAACCCACCUAUCAGACUGGGAUAACUUCGGGAAACCGGAGCUAAUACCGGAUAAUAUAUUGAACCGCAUGGUUCAAUAGUGAAAGACGGUUUUGCUGUCUCUUAUAGAUUGAUCCGCGCCGUAUUAGCUAGUUGGUAAGGUAACGGCUUACCAAGGCAACCAUGCGUAGCCGACCUGAGAGGGGGAUAGGCGACACGGGAACUGAGACACGGUCAAGACGCCUACGGGAGGCAGCAGUAGGGAAUCGUCCGCAAUGGGCGAAAGCAUGACGGAGCAACGCCGCGUGAGUGAUGAAGGUCUUCGGAUCGUAAAACUCUGUUAUUAGGGAAGAACAAAUGUGUAAGUAACUAUGCACGUCUUGACGGUACCUAAUCAGAAAGCAACGGCUAACUACGUG
rnacentral:rRNA from 1 species